rnacentral:rRNA from 1 species
UACGUAGGGUGCAAACGUUAAUCGGAAUUACUGGGCGUAAAGCGUGCGCAGGCGGUUUUGUAAGUCUGACGUGAAAUCCCCGGGCUCAACCUGGGAAUUGCGUUGGAGACUGCAAGGCUAGAAUCUGGCAGAGGGGGGUAGAAUUCCACGUGUAGCAGUGAAAUGCGUAGAGAUGUGGAGGAACACCGAUGGCGAAGGCAGCCCCCUGGGUCAAGAUUGACGCUCAUGCACGAAAGCGUGGGGAGCAAACAGG